AUCUAUAAAGUUAAAAGGAAAGUAAUUUUGUCGGGUAUUUUGCAAUAGAAUCGUAUAAGGGGAGGAAGUGGUUGGUUGGAACAGUUCGCGAGUGUUUCCUACGGCAAGAGGAGAGAAAAAGGCAGAGAAAAGAACACGUUACCUGGCAGCGUGGCGAAGAGAAAGGGAAGAGAGCUGGCAGAGCGAGUAACCGAUACGUGGCUCGUGAAAAUGGAAAACGUGUCUCGGAUCUUGCUGACUCGACGAGAAACAAAAGUGGCGUGUGGCUUUUGCGAGAUGUUAGCAGUUAGGAGGAGAGAGCCGUUCAAGUUUCCGGUAAGUUU